AGGUCAUGGAAGGCACAAUGGGCUGAAGAGUGUGAUUUACCAUUUUCGAGGGAAUCGAGAGUUUGCUCGACUAAGGAUUGGUAUUGGGAGCCCUCCUGGUCAAAUGGAUCCUAAAGCUUUCUUGUUACAGAAGUUCAAUGCAAUAGCUCGAGAACGA